UGUCCUGCCUGUUGCCGAGAAAGAAGGAUGGGCGAUCUUGGGAGCAGCAUUGUCGCCUUGCUCUUGACCAUAGUCCCAGUUGUAUCAGGUCAGGCCACUGUCACCCAAGAGGACCAAUUUCUUUCCAUCAAGGAAGGAGAAUCCAUCCGGAUGAACUGCUCCUAUACGGAAACAGGAUACAGUCUUCAGUGGUACAGGCAAUAUCCAGGGGGCCAGCCAGAGUUCAUGAUCUUACUGACAAGCUCAAUGACUCAAGAAAAGGAUGAUUUUAAAAUGAGUCUGGACACAGACCAGAAGACCACCUCUUUGUAUCUGAAGAGACACCCGGCUGAAUGAUUCAGCUGUCUAUUUCUGUGCAUGGAGCACAGUGGUACAAAGACACAUCCUGGCUGUCACCAAAGGUGGAGAGCAACCCAGGAGGAGAACUGGAGCCAUCUACUGGUGA